AUUGAACGCUGGCGGCAUGCCUUACACAUGCAAGUCGAACGGUAACGGGCCUUCGGGUGCCGACGAGUGGCGAACGGGCGAGUAAUACAUCGGAACGUGCCCGAUCGUGGGGGAUAACGAGGCGAAAGCUUUGCUAAUACCGCAUACGAUCUACGGAUGAAAGCAGGGGACCGCAAGGCCUUGCGCGGACGGAGCGGCCGAUGGCAGAUUAGGUAGUUGGUGGGAUAAAAGCUUACCAAGCCGACGAUCUGUAGCUGGUCUGAGAGGAUGAUCAGCCACACUGGGACUGAGACACGGCCCAGACUCCUACGGGAGGCAGCAGUGGGGAAUUUUGGACAAUGGGCGCAAGCCUGAUCCAGCCAUGCCGCGUGCAGGAUGAAGGCCUUCGGGUUGUAAACUGCUUUUGUACGGAACGAAAAGCCUUCUUUUAAUACAGGAGGGUCAUGACGGUACCGGAAGAAUAAGCACCGGCUAACUACGUG
rnacentral:rRNA from 1 species